AUGAUUCUGAAUAAAGAUCAGACUCCUUAUUCAGCAGAUAGGUUAGUUCUCAGCAAUAGAAGCUGCGGGGAUCCCGUGGAUAUGAGGAUGAAGCUGAGGCUUAUCUGCAUCAAAGUGGAGGGACUGGCCCCAGCGGAGCCUCAGGGCUUCACCUUGAUGGCCUGCAGGCUCACAUUCCACUUUAUCUGGUGCCCUCUGGCUCCCAGAGUCCAGUUUGCCAAUCAAGUGAUGGAGGUUGAAAGGAGGGAUGAGGUGAAGGAGGUAAACCUUACAACCAUCAUCAUCGUCAUCAUCAUCAUCAUUGCAGGGAUCUUUUCUAACUAUGCUUUAAUAUCCAGAAGUCCCAGGAACUCUCAGAUGGGGGCGCCCUUCCUCUGGAGCAACCCCCAGGGCAAGUGCAUCUGCAAGCUCAGCCUCUCCCAGCAUAGAGGCUUCUCUGUCUGCACCACUCACCAAAAUGACACAGGGAUUGAGCUUUAUGCAAUACGAACACCAGACAACUACCGGGGGCAAAACAAAAACACAAACCCCAUCUUCAGCGAGGAAUGGAAGGUCUGUCACCUGCCUCAAGUAGCUAAAUCACCUGCUGUAACCGGCACCUCCCUGACAUUCAUGGGUUUGAGGCGGCCCCUGCUCCUCAACAGCGUCCUGCUGCGCCAGAACCCACACCACGUGCACAUGUGGCAUAAGCGUGUCGCCCUGCACUAGGGCCGCCCCCAGGAGAUCAUCAACACCUACACAGAGGCUGUGCAGACGGUGGACCCCUUCAAGUCCACAGGCAAACCCCACACUCUGUAGGUGGCAUUUGCCAAGUUUUAAGAGGACAACGGGCAGCUGGACGAUGCCCGUGUCAUCCUGGAGAAGGCCACCAAGGUGAACUUCAAGCAGGUGGAUGACCUGGCAAGCAUAUGGUGUCAGUGCGGGGAGCUGGAGCUCCGGCACGAGAACUAUGACGAGGCCCUGCAGCUAUUGCAGAAGGCCAGGGCGCUGCCUGCCCACCGGGCCAAGUACUUCGACCGCUCAGAGCCCGUGCAGAACCGCGUGUACAAGUCACUGAAGGUGUGGUCCAUACUCGCCGACCUGGAGGAGAGCCUCGGCACCUUCCAGUCCACCAAGGCCGUGUACGACAGCAUCCCGGACCUGCGCAUCGCGACACCCCAGAUCGUCAUCAACUACGCCAUGUUCCUGGAGGAGCACAAGUACUUCGAGGAGAGCUUCAAGGCGUACGAGCGCUGCAUCUCGCUGUUCAAGCGGCCCAACGUGUCGGACAUCUGGAGCACCUACCUUGCCAAAUUCAUCGCCCGCUACGGGGGCCGCAAGCUGGAGCGGGCACGGGACCUCUUCGAACAGGCUCUGGACCGCUACCCACCAAAAUAGCCAAGACCUUGUACCUGCUGUAUGCGCAGCUGGAGGAGUGGGGCCUGGCCCGGCACGCCAUGGCCGUGUACGAGCGCGCCACCAGGGCCAUGGAGCCUGCGCAGCAGUACGACAUGUUCAACAUCCGCAUCAAGCGGGCGGCCGAGAUCUACGGCGUCACCCACACCCGCAGCAUCCACCAGAAGGCCAUCGAGGUGCUGUCGGACGAGCAUGCACGUGAGAUGUGCCUGCGGUUCGCGGACAUGGAGUGCAAGCUGGGGGGAUCGACCGCGCCCGGGCCAUCCACAGCUUCUGCUCCCAGAUCUGCUACCCCCGGACGACCGUGGCGUUCUGGCAGACGUGGAAGGACUUAGAGGUCCGGCACGGCAACGAGGACACCAUCAAGGACAUGCUGCGCAUCCGGCGGGGCGUGCAGGCCACAUACAACACGCAGGUCAACUUCAUGGCCUGGCAGAUGCUCAAGGUCUCGGGCAGCGCCAUGGGCACCGUGUCCAACCUGGCCCCUGGGCAGAGCGGCAUGGAUGACAUGAAGCUGUUGGAACAGCGCACGGAACAGCUGGCAGCCGAGGCGGAGCGAGACCAGUCCCCGCGUGCCCAGAGCAAGAUCCUGUUCGUGAGGAGCGAUGCCUCCAGCGGGGAGCUGGCAGAGCUGGCGCAGCAGGUCAACCCCGAGAGGAUCCAGCUGGGCGAGGACGAGGACGAGGACGAGGACGAGGACGAGGACGAGGACGAGAUGGACCUGGAACCCAACGAGGUCCAGCUAGAGCAGCAGAGCGUGCCAGCUGCCGUGUUCGGAAGCCUGAAAGAAGACUGACCCGUCCCUCCUCC